rnacentral:sRNA from 1 species
AUUCCGGUAGGUAAGGCUACCACAAGGAUAUGGACUGCUGCCGCGGAGUAGUGGAGACACUAUGAGAGGGUUUGAACAGGUCGCAUCGAAACCAAGGUGUGAUCUAACGCAGUUUCACCGCCUUGUGAAGCUAAAGCUUGUAACGGU